rnacentral:rRNA from 1 species
CCUACGGGAGGCAGCAGUAGGGAAUCUUCCACAAUGGGCGAGAGCCUGAUCGAGCAACGCCGCGUGAGUGAAGAAUGUCUUCGGAUCGUAAAACCCUGUUUUUAGAGAAGAAAAGUCGUGAGAGUAACUGUUCACGUUUCGACGUUAUCUAACCAGAAAGCCACGGCUAACUACGUGCCACCAGCCGCGGUAAUACGUAGGUGGCAAGCGUUAUCCGGAUUUAUUGGGCGUAAAGGUAACGCAGGCGGUCUGUUAAGUCUGAUGUGAAACGCUUCGGCUUAACCGGAGUAGUGCAUUGGAUACUGGCAGACUUGAGUGCAGAAGAGGAGAGUGGAACUCGAUGUGUAGCGGUGAAAUGCGUAGAUAUAUGGAAGAACACCAGUGGCGAAGGCGGCUCUCUGGUCUGUAACUGACGCUGAUGUUCGAAAGUGUGGGUAGCAAACAGGAUUAGAUACCCCAGUAGUC